AGAAUGUUCUGAUAAGCAAAGAAGGAGCGAAAAUUGCCGACUUUGGCUGUGCUAAAUAUGUUGAAAAAGUUGGUGGUUGUGCCAUGUCAGAAUUUUCUGGUACACCGGCGUUCAUGGCGCCAGAGGUAGCUCGUGGAGAAGAGCAGGGGUUCCCAGCAGACUUGUGGGCUUUGGGGUGCACGGUCAUAGAAAUGGCAACUGGGACUAUCCCAUGGACAGAG
rnacentral:misc_RNA from 1 species